UCGUUGGCCGCCUCGCGGGAGCGCGGGAAACCGGGCGUGGUGGGGCGGGGCUGGCCCGCGAGGCUGUGGACCUCCUGACUAUGGGUUGGCCGGGGGACGGUGGUCACCGAACCCGGGCGCUUGGCGUCGCGGGAAGGCCAGAAAUAUUAUCCACAUUAUCUCCGUGAAGUCCUACAAGACGCCUUUCCUCUUCACCCCGCAGGGCUUCCAUUGGCCUGGCCCUUUUCCUGGAGGUGACUUUCGUUUCUUUGACCUUUUUGGAGCGUAGACCUAAGUACCAGUAUUAUUGCUGCAAAGGUUGUGCACGUUUUCAUAACUGGGGGGGUGGCAUCCUUCCAAAUGCUUUCCAGAGCGGUUGGACGGCCAGCUCCCAGCUCCACAAGCAGUGCAUUAAGGUAAAUGGUGGGAAUGGAUCCCAGAAUGUGCCCGUGACAGUCUUGCCCUUGCCCUUGUACCCUCGGAGGUGGGAGACAGGAUGAGGCCUGAGAAGCUGAGCCAAAGUCCCAGAUCUGGUGGCUAUAUGUCAGCGAGGAAGGAGGAAAAGAGAAAAAGCAUUAGAGGAUCAGAAAGAUCCCCGAAAUAUGGACAUUAUCAAUCUUCUUGAGGAACUCAUUGCCUUUUAAAAGAGACAAGCCAGAAAGCAGCUUAAAAGUAAGCAAGAAGCAACAGAGCAAGAGUGGAUGCUGGGAGUUUAGAGUUCAUCCAGAGAGGCUUCCUGAAAGAGGUGAGUCUCCUUGAUUUUUGAAGGAAUCAAAGGACAUUGAUGGAUGUCACAGGGGCACAGAUGUGCCGGGACAGCCCGGCACCAUGCACAACACACCCCUUGCAAGUUCCA